rnacentral:rRNA from 1 species
CCUACGGGUGGCAGCAGUGAGGAAUAUUGGUCAAUGGACGAGAGUCUGAACCAGCCAAGUAGCGUGAAGGAUGACUGCCCUAUGGGUUGUAAACUUCUUUUAUAUGGGAAUAAAAUGUUCCACGUGUGGGAUUUUGUAUGUACCAUAUGAAUAAGGAUCGGCUAACUCCGUGCCAGCAGCCGCGGUAAUACGGAGGAUCCGAGCGUUAUCCGGAUUUAUUGGGUUUAAAGGGAGCGUAGGCGGAGUGUCAAGUCAGCGGUAAAAUUUCGGGGCUCAACCCCGUCGUGCCGUUGAAACUGACGCCCUUGAGUGAGUGAGAAGUAAGCGGAAUGCGUGGUGUAGCGGUGAAAUGCAUAGAUAUCACGCAGAACGCCGAUUGCGAAGGCAGCUUACCGGCGCUCAACUGACGCUGAGGCACGAAAGUGCGGGUAUCGAACAGGAUUAGAUACCCGAGUAGUC